CCUACGGGAGGCAGCAGUGAGGAAUAUUGGUCAAUGGGCGAGAGCCUGAACCAGCCAAGUCGCGUGAAGGAUGACGGCCCUACGGGUUGUAAACUUCUUUUGUCAGGGAGCAAUUGGGUCCACGCGUGGGCUUAGCGAGAGUACCUGAAGAAAAAGCAUCCGCUAACUCCGUGCCAGCAGCCGCGGUAAUACGGAGGAUGCGAGCGUUAUCCGGAUUUAUUGGGUUUAAAGGGUGCGUAGGCGGAAUAUCAAGUCAGCGGUAAAAAUUCGGGGCUCAACCCCGUCGUGCCGUUGAAACUGAUGGUCUUGAGUGGGCGAGAGGUAUGCGGAAUGCGGGGUGUAGCGGUGAAAUGCAUAGAUAUCACGCAGAACUCCGAUUGCGAAGGCAGCAUACCGGCGCCCAACUGACGCUGAGGCACGAAAGCGUGGGUAUCGAACAGGAUUAGAUACCCGGGUAGUC
rnacentral:rRNA from 1 species